AUUGAACGCUGGCGGCAGGCCUAACACAUGCAAGUCGAACGGUAGCACAGAGAGCUUGCUCUCGGGUGACGAGUGGCGGACGGGUGAGUAACGUCUGGGAAACUGCCCGAUGGAGGGGGAUAACUACUGGAAACGGUAGCUAAUACCGCAUAACGUCGCAAGACCAAAGUGGGGGACCUUCGGGCCUCACACCAUCGGAUGUGCCCAGAUGGGAUUGGCUAGUAGGUGGGGUAAUGGCUCACCUAGGCGACGAUCCCUAGCUGGUCUGAGAGGAUGACCAGCCAGACUGGAACUGAGACACGGUCCAGACUCCUACGGGAGGCAGCAGUGGGGAAUAUUGCACAAUGGGCGCAAGCCUGAUGCAGCCAUGCCGCGUGUAUGAAGAAGGCCUUCGGGUUGUAAAGUACUUUCAGCGGGGAGGAAGGCGGUGAAGUUAAUAGCUUCACCGAUUGACGUUACCCGCAGAAGAAGCACCGGCUAACUCCGUGCCAGCCGCCGCGGUAA
rnacentral:rRNA from 1 species